AGGAUCCGCUCGGAUCUACGAUCGCUAGGAUGCGACUGCAGAGGUCUCUGGAAGACCAGGAGUCCUUGCCUGAGGAGAGCUGAUGGAGGAGCCGUGCACCUGGAGAACCAUGAGUCUGCCUGCCAACAAGUAGUACUGGAAGGCGGGGCAUAGGGAGGUGAUGGAGGACCUGCCUGGUGAAGGACGUCAGGGUGGGGCGAGUGACACCCGACUCCAAGGGGAUAUCCACUGAGGAGAGAGCUGAAGGAGCCAUGCAUCUGGAAGGUGCAGUUGAAAUGCUGUGUCCAGUCUGGGACACACACCUGAGCUGCGUCAAGCCUGUAUCUCUGACCAGCUGGAGUCCCUUAGUGAUCAACAACCGCCACUCAUCGCUGGCCUGUGGAUUCAUCUCCUUCACUCACACAACGUGACCUUGGCCUGUGGAUUCAUCUACUCCACACUCACACAACAGGACUUUGGCCUGUGGAUUCAUCUACUCCACACUCACACAACAGGACUUUGGCCUGUGGAUUCAUCUCCUCCAC